UACGUAGGGUCCAAGCGUUAUCCGGAAUCACUGGGCGUAAAGCGUGCGUAGGUGGUGCUGUAAGUCUGGCGUGAAAUUUUUCGGCUUAGCCGGGAAAGGUCGUCGGAUACUGCAGGACUAGAGGACGGUAGAGGCGUGUGGAAUUCCGGGUGUAGUGGUGAAAUGCGUAGAGAUCCGGAGGAACACCAGUGGCGAAGGCGACACGCUGGGCCGUACCUGACACUGAGGCGCGAUAGCAUGGGGAGCAAACAGG
rnacentral:rRNA from 1 species